rnacentral:rRNA from 1 species
UACAGAGGUCUCAAGCGUUGUCCGGAAUUAUUGGGCGUAAAGCGCGCGCAGGCGGUCCUUUAAGUCUGAUGUGAAAGCCCACGGCUCAACCGUGGAAGGUCAUUGGAAACUGGAGGACUUGAGUACAGAAGAGGAAAGCGGAAUUCCACGUGUAGCGGUGAAAUGCGUAGAGAUGUGGAGGAACACCAGUGGCGAAGGCGGCUUUCUGGUCUGUAACUGACGCUGAGGCGCGAAAGCGUGGGGAGCAAACAGG